rnacentral:lncRNA from 1 species
AUCCUUACCCCACUGAACGAGGCCAAGGAUCAAACCUGAAACCUCAUGGUUCCUAGUUGGAUUUGUUAACCACUGAGCCACGAUGGGAACUCCCCUCCAUCUCUUUAAAAAAAAUUUUUUUGGGGGGGGUGGAAUUUAUAUAUUAUUUAUUAAAUUUAUAAUUUAUUUUAUUUAUUAAUUAAAAAUUUUUAAGGGUUUUUUUAAUAUAAUGAUUUUUAUUUUUUUCCAUUAUAGCUGGUUUGCAGUGUUCUGUCAGUUUUCUACUUUACAGCAUGGUGACCCAGUUACACAUACACGUAUACAUUCUUUUUUCUCAAAUUAUCAUGCUCCAUCAUAAAUGACUAGAUAGUUCCCAGUGCUACACAUCAGGAUCUCAUUGUGAAUCCAUUCCAAAGGCAAUAGUCUGCAUCUAUUAACCCCAAGCUCCCAAUCCAUCCCACUCCCUCCCCCUCCCCCUUGGCAACCACAAGUCUAUUCUCCAAUCUGUGAUUUUCUUUUAUGUGGAAAGGUUCAUUUGUGCCAAAUAUUAGAUUCCAGAUAUAAGUGGUAUCAUACGGUAUUUGUCUUUCUCUUUCUGACUUAUUUCACUCAGUAUGAGAGUCUCUAGUUCCAUCCAGGUUGCUGCAAAUGGCAUUAUUUUGUUCUUUUUUAUGGCUGAGUAGUGUUCCAUUGUGUAUAUAUACCAAAUCUUCUUAAUCCAAUCAUCCGUUGAUGGAUAUUUAGGUUGUUUCCAUGUCUUGGCUAUUGUGAAUUGUGUUGCAAUGAAUAUGCGGGUGCAUGUGUCUUUUGCAAGGAAAGUUCUGUCUGGAUAUAUGCCCAAGAGUGGGAUUGCUGGGUCAUAGGGUAGUUCUAUGUACCGUUUUCUGUGGUACCUCCUUACUGGUCUCCAUAGUGGUUGUACCAACAGUUCAGAAGGGUUCCCUUUUCUCCACACCCCCUCCAGCAUUUGUUAUUUGUGGCCUUAUGAAUGAUGGCCAUUCUGCCUGGUAUGAAGUGGUAUCUCGUGGUAGUUUUGAUUUGCAUUUCUCUAAUAAUCGGGGAUGUUGAGUAUUUUUUCAUGUGCUUGUUGGCCAUCUGUAUAUCUUCCUUGGAGAAAUGUCUAUUCAGGUCUUUUGCCCAUUUUUCCAUUGGGUGGUUGGCUUUUUUGCUGUUGCGUUGUAUAAAUUGCUUGUGUGUUUUGAGAUUGAGCCCUUGUCAGUUACAUCAUUUGAAACUAUUUUCUCCCAUUCUGUAAGUUGUCUUUUUGUUUUCUUUUUGGUUUCCUUUGCUGUGCAGAAGCUUGUCAGUUUGAUCAGGUCCCAUUGGUUUAUUUUUGCUCUUAUUUCUGUUGCUUUGGGAGACUGAGCUGAGAAAGCAUUUGUAAGGUUGAUGUCAGAGAAUGUUUUGCCUGUGUUCUCUUCCAGGAUUUUGAUGGUGUCUUGUCUUAUAUUUAAGUCUUCCAGCCAUUUAGAGUUUAUUUUUGUGCAUGGGGUGAGGAUGUGCACUAGUUUCAUUGAUUUGCAUGCAGUAGUACAAUUUUUUUUAAUUGAAGUAUAGUUGAUUUAUAAUGCUGUGAUAAUUUCUGCUGUACAGCAAAGUGACUCAGUUAUAUAUUCUUUUUCAUAUUCUUUUCCAUUAUGGUUAUCACAGGAUACUGAAUAUAGCUCCCUGUGGUAUACAGUAGGACCUUGUUUAUCCAUUCUAUACAUACUAGUUUGGAUCUGCUAGUCCCAAACUCCCAGUUUUUCCCAGUCUGUUCUCUAUGUCUGUGACUCUGUUUCUGAUUUGCAGGUGGGUUCAUUUGUGUCAUAUGGUAUUUGUCUUUCUCUUUCUGAUUUACUUUGCUUGGUAUGAUACUCUCUAGGUCCAUCCAUGUUGUUGCAAAUGCCAUUAUUUCAUUCUUUUUUUAUGUCUGAUUAGUAUUCUAUUGUAUAUAUGCACCACAACUUCUUUAUCCGUUCCUCCGUUGAUGGACAUCUAGGUUGCUUACAUGUCUUGGCUGUUGUAAAUAGUGCUGCUCUGAACAUAGGGGUGCAUGUAUCUUUUCAAAUUAUACUUUUGUCUGGAUAUAUGCCCAGGAGUGGGAUUGCUGGAUCAUAUGGUAACUCUAUUUUUAGUUUUUUGAGGAAACUCCAUACUGGUUUUUUAUAAUGGCUAUACCAAUUUACAUCCCCACUAGCAGCAUAAGAGCAUUUUCUCCUCACCCUGUCCAGUGUUUAUUGUUUGUAGACAUUUUUUUACAUAUAAUGAUUUUUAUUUUUUCCAUUAUAGCUGGUUUACAGUGUUCUGUCAAUUUUCCACUGUACAGCAUGGUGACCCAGUUACACAUACAUGCAUACAUUCUUUUUUCUCACAUUAUCAUGCUCCAUCAUAAGUGACCAGACAUAGUUCCCUAUUGUUUGUAGACUUUUUAAUGAUGGCCAUUCUGACUGGUGUGUGGUGAUAAGGCAUUGCAGUUUUAAUUUGCUUUUCUCUAUCAGCGAUGAUGAGCAUCUUUUCGUGUGUCUAUUGGGUAUCCGUAUGUCUUCUUUGGAGAAAUAUCUAUUUAGGUCUUCUGCCCAUUUUCAAUUGAGUUGUUUUUCUGGUUAUUGAGUUUUAUGAGCUGUUUGUAUAUUUGGAAAUUGAGCCCUUGUCAGGUGCAUCAUUUGCAAAUAUUUUCUCUCAGUCUGUAAGUUAUCUUUUCAUUUUGUUUAUGGUUUCCUUUGCUGUGAAAAAGCUUGUAAGUUUGAUUAGCUCCCAUUUGUUUAUUUUUGCUUUUAUUUCUGUUGUCUUGAGAGAGUGACCUAAGAAGACAGUGGUGUGAUUUAUGUCAGAGAAUAUUUUGCCUCUGUUCUCUUAUAGAACUUUUAUGGUGUCAUGUCUUAUAUUCAAGUCUUUAAGCCGUUUUGAGUUUAUUUUUGUGUAUGGUGUGAGGACGUGUUCUAACUUCACUUUUUUACCUACACCUGUCCAACUUUCCCAACACCACUUGCUGAAGAGACAGUCUUUUUUCCAUUAUACUUGCUUCCUUUGUUGAAGAUUAAUUGACCAUAGUUGUGUGAGUUCAUUUCUGGGCUCUCUAUUCUGUUCCAUUGAUCCAUAUGUCUGUUUUUGUGCCAGUACCACACUGUUUUAGUUACUGUAGCUUUGUAAUAAUUGUCUAACUUCUGGGAGGGUUAUGCCUCUUGCUUUGUUCUUUUUCCUAAGGAUUGCUUUGACAAUUCUGGGUCUUUUAUGGUUCCAUAUAAAAUUUAGGAUUAUUUGUCCUAGUUCUGUGAAAAAUGUCAUUAAAUCUGUAGAUUGCUUUGGGUAGUAUGGCCUUUUUAGUAAAUAUUUUUUUUUGUCUUUUUAGGGCUGCACCCAUGGCAUAUCGAAGCUCCCAGGCUAGGGAUAGAAUUGGAGCUACAGCUGCCAGCCUACACAACAGCCACAGCAAUGUGGGAUCCGAGCUGCGUCAGUUACCUACACCACAGCUCACGGCAACACCAGAUCCAUUAACCCACUGAGCGAUACCAGGGAUCAAACCUAUGUCCUUAUGGAUACUAGUCAGGUUCAUUACCACUGAGACACAAUGGGGAACUCACAUUUUAACAGUAUUAAUUCUUCCCAUCCAAGAGCAUGGGAUAUCUUUCCAUUCUUUGUGAUUCCAACUCUCUUUUAUUAUUUUUAUUUAUUUAUUUAUUUCUGAUUCCAACUUUUGAUAACUCUGUUUCCUUGGGCUUUUCUCAGUUCCUCCCCUGGCUCUGUUUCCUCAUUUAUAAAAUGAGGUGACUGCUUCCUUCAGAAUACUGAAAAAACAAACACACAGAUCUGAAUUUGGCUUCCUCUCCGUUUGAAAGAUUUCAAUGACUUGGGAGUUCCUAGCCUAAGAACUUCCAAAUGCUGUGGGUGCAGCC